rnacentral:tRNA from 1 species
GGGGAUAAAGCUCAGUUGGUAGAGUGCUUGCCUUGCAUGCAGAAGGUUCUGGGUUCAGUCCCCAGGAUCACAA